AAUAGCUCCUGGAAACGGGUGGUAAUACCGGAUGCUCCGCUCCUUCGCAUGGUGGGGUGGGAAAUGCUUUUGCGGCAUGGGAUGGGGUCGCGUCCUAUCAGCUUGUUGGCGGGGUGAUGGCCCACCAAGGCGUUGACGGGUAGCCGGCCUGAGAGGGUGACCGGCCACAUUGGGACUGAGAUACGGCCCAGACUCCUACGGGAGGCAGCAGUGGGGAAUAUUGCACAAUGGGCGCAAGCCUGAUGCAGCGACGCCGCGUGCGGGAUGGAGGCCUUCGGGUUGUAAACCGCUUUUGUUCAAGGGCAAGGCACGGUGGUGAGUGGAUUGUUCGAAUAAGCACCGGCUAACUACGUGCCAGCAGCCGCGGUAAUACGUAGGGUGCGAGCGUUAUCCGGAUUUAUUGGGCGUAAAGGGCUCGUAGGCAGUUCGUCGCGUCCGGUGUGAAAGUCCAUCGCCUAACGGUGGAUCUGCGCCGGGUACGGGCGGGCUGGAGUGCGGUAGGGGAGACUGGAAUUCCCGGUGUAACGGUGGAAUGUGUAGAUAUCGGGAAGAACACCAAUGGCGAAGGCAGGUCUCUGGGCCGUCACUGACGCUGAGGAGCGAGAGCGUGGGGAGCGAACAGGAUUAGAUACCCUGGUAGUCCACGCCGUAAACGGUGGAUGCUGGAUGUGGGGCCCUUUCCACGGGUCCCGUGUCGGAGCCAACGCGUUAAGCAUCCCGCCUGGGGAGUACGGCCGCAAGGCUAAAACUCAAAGAAAUUGACGGGGGCCCGCACAAGCGGCGGAGCAUGCGGAUUAAUUCGAUGCAACGCGAAGAACCUUACCUGGGCUUGACAUGUGCCGGAUCGCCGUGGAGACACGGUUUCCCUUCGGGGCCGGUUCACAGGUGGUGCAUGGUCGUCGUCAGCUCGUGUCGUGAGAUGUUGGGUUAAGUCCCGCAACGAGCGCAACCCUCGCCGCAUGUUGCCAGCGGGUGAUGCCGGGAACUCAUGUGGGACCGCCGGGGUCAACUCGGAGGAAGGUGGGGAUGACGUCAGAUCAUCAUGCCCCUUACGUCCAGGGCUUCACGCAUGCUACAAUGGCCGGUACAACGCGGUGCGACACGGUGACGUGGGGCGGAUCGCUGAAAGCCGGUCUCAGUUCGGAUCGCAGUCUGCAACUCGACUGCGUGAAGGCGGAGUCGCUAGUAAUCGCGGAUCAGCAACGCCGCGGUGAAUGCGUUCCCGGGCCUUGUACACACCGCCCGUCAAGUCAUGAAA
rnacentral:rRNA from 1 species